rnacentral:siRNA from 1 species
UUGAGGCCACUACAAACAAAG